GCGUCUUUUUGGCGCCGCACGUCCCAUUCGCCCCCCGUCUCCCGGAUUACGGGGGCCCUGCCCUGCCUCAGCCUCCGCCCUUGUGAGUCUGACCGGUUCGGCAGCAGCGUAGCACUGUGCGACACCGGGGCAUAUAAAAGAGGGCGUGGAGGUGGAGCUGCCCUUUCCAGCUCCGGAGGAGCGCCAGGAUUGGAGAGGAGACGAGAGAAAACGAAGCCGCACCAGCAGCUCGAAGCAGCAGAGUGGCAGCCAGAGGAGAGGCCUCGUCUGAGUGAAAGGAAGUCCAGGAAGUCCUGGAAGCUGCUUCCCCUGUACAUUUUGGGGUGGUGUUCAUCGACGAGCUCUUCGGCGCAGUGGACCUCUUCAUCCAUCGAGAGACCAUGGAUGCUGGCAAUAGAAAUCCUUGACUCGUUUGGGUUGAGAACGGCUCGAUGGACAAGGGACUUGAGCUGGCCAUUGCUCAACACUUCCAGGUGGUCUCCUACAUGGACAUGGAGAGCCCCAGGGAUAGCAGGGACAGAUGUCCAGGCAUCAUCCUCAUGGUGCAUCACCUCAAGCCCUGGGGAGCUCUGCAACAGGAUGGUGAGGAAGCCAUAAUCAGAGUGAGGAGCCAAGCCGAUCUUGUCGGCUUUCUUCGCCGAUGACUGCGGGUAGUUGUUCAAGGCCACGAACUGCACCCCUCCUUCAAGCUUUUCUUGCAGGUUACCUGUAAGUUGGUGGCUGCGUCGGCCAGAACUUGAUCCAGUCGUCCAGGGGAUUGGCAUAGUGCUUCAGAAAUGACCUGGACAUGCUGAUCCCGUCCCUCGAGCUCGUGUCGUACCUGAUGGGCUGCCGGAUGUCGUCCGACGCGAACUCCUCCUUGCGCUCCGUCGAUAGCUGGAAGAACUCGGAGGCGGCUUCGAGGGCGCCAUUCAUGCAAGACCUGCUGAUGCCAUGGUUCACCACCUGCAGGUGUUGGAGGACAGGACAAGCAGAGGAGGAUGCAGGGUGGUGACAAGUAAGCAGCACUAACCUCAAAGCAGCCACGUUCACGGCACGCCAGCACGAUAUCCCGCACGGCGAGCGCCCGCGAGGCACUGUCCAUGGUGAGCCGGCCCAGGUUGAUCACCGGCAAUGGCCGCGGCGGCGGCGGCAGCGGCGGAGGCACUCCCUUGUGCUGGCUCGCCAUGUACAAGCUCCCGGCCACGGCGGGCAUGCCACCCUUCUAUCUUCUCCGGCGAGCUUGAGAGCAAACAACACAGAGGACAGGUCUCUACACUGCACUGCACUGCACUACUACCUCCUGAGAACACAGGAUGCCUCCAGCACAGCACAGAUGCCCAAGUAUUUAUAAGCUCUGAUGAAUCUGCAGCAUCAGAGAGACUGAAAGCGGCAUGGCAUAGAGCCAACUGGGCAGCGGGUAAAUCCCCUGCACGUAGACCAUCUUGUAUCGGCCAAAUCAAUAUUGGGGCUUUUCAGGGCGAUUCUGUCCAGGAGCAGGCAAUUGGCUCACCUCCUCAUCUUGCGUUGCGUUUGCGUAUGCACACACAACACAACUACUACUACCACUACUUACUUCGUAGUAGUGCAUGCUUAGUAAGUCCAGAUGAGCAGCUACAGGUGCAGGCCAUUUCGAUCCAAGAUAGUGGCCACCAGCUGUGUCGCCGUCGAUCUGUGACUGUGAUGAGUGACCCUGCUGCCUGCCGAACAUUUUGUUAUUCCUCCCUCAGCCUGCGAGUUGCCGCUGGGUGCAUCCCGCUUUGCUUUC